GCUUAUCACGUCCUUCAUCGGCUCCUGAUGCCAAGGCAUUCACCAUGCGCCCUUUGUAGCUUGACC
rnacentral:rRNA from 4 species